UACGGAGGAUGCAAGCGUUAUCCGGAUUUAUUAGGUUUAAAGGGUGCGUAGGUGGGCGUUUAAGUCAGUGGUUAAAGCCAUUAGCUUAACUAAUGUAUGCCAUUGAUACUGGAUGUCUUGAAUGUGGUAGAGGUAGGCGGAAUGUGUUGUGUAGCGGUGAAAUGCUUAGAUAUAACACAGAACACCGAUUGCGAAGGCAGCUUACUAUUCCAUUAUUGACGCUGAUGCACGAAAGCGUGGGGAGCAAACAGGAUUAGA
rnacentral:rRNA from 1 species